rnacentral:rRNA from 1 species
AUUGAACGCUGGCGGCAGGCCUAACACAUGCAAGUCGAGCGAGCGGCGGACGGGUGAGUACUGUCUGGGAAACUGCCUGUUGGAGGGGGAUAACUACUGGAAACGGUAGCUAAUACCGCAUACCAUCAGAUGUGCCCAGAUGGGAUUAGCUAGUAGGGGGGGUAACGGCUCACCUAGGCGACGAUCCCUAGCUGGUCUGAGAGGAUGACCAGCCACACUGGAACUGAGACACGGUCCAGACUCCUACGGGAGGCAGCAGUGGGGAAUAUUGCGCAAUGGGCGAAAGCCUGAUGCAGCCAUGCCGCGUGUAUGAAGAAGGCCUUCGGGUUGUAAAGUACUUUUAGCGGGGAAGCGUUACCCGAAGAGGAAGCAACGGCUAACUCCGUGCCAGCAGCCGCGGUAAUAC